rnacentral:rRNA from 1 species
GAUGAACGCUAGCGGCAGGCUUAACACAUGCAAGUCGAGGGGCAGCGAGGCCGUAGCAAUACGGCUGUCGGCGACCGGCGCACGGGUGCGUAACGCGUAUGCAACCUACCCGUAACAGGGGGAUAACACUGAGAAAUUGGUACUAAUACCCCAUAAUAUCUCAUGCGGCAUCGCAUGGGGUUGAAAACUCCGGUGGUUGAUGAUGGGCAUGCGUUGUAUUAGCUGGUUGGUGAGGUAACGGCUCACCAAGGCGACGAUACAUAGGGGGACUGAGAGGUUAACCCCCCACAUUGGUACUGAGACACGGACCAA